rnacentral:rRNA from 1 species
UACGUAGGGUGCGAGCGUUAAUCGGAAUUCCUGGGCGUAAAGCGUGCGUAGGCGGUUCGUUAUGUCUGCUGUGAAAGCCCCGGGCUUAACCUGGGAAUGGCAGUGGAAACUGGCGGGCUUGAGUGUGGCAGAGGGGGGUGGAAUUCCGCGUGUAGCAGUGAAAUGCGUAGAGAUGCGGAGGAACACCGAUGGCGAAGGCAGCCCCCUGGGCUGACACUGACGCUGAGGCACGAAAGCGUGGGGAGCAAACAGG